AGCAGUCGCCAGGUAAUACGUAGGUGGCAAGCGUUGUCCGGAAUUAUUGGGCGUAAAGGGCUCGCAGGCGGUUUCUUAAGUCUGAUGUGAAAGCCCCCGGCUCAACCGGGGAGGGUCUUUGGAAACUGGGAAACUUGAGUGCAGAAGAGGAGAGUGGAAUUCCACGUGUAGCGGUGAAAUGCGUAGAGAUGUGGAGGAACACCAGUGGCGAAGGCGACUCUCUGGUCUGUAACUGACGCUGAGGAGCGAAAGCGUGGGGAGCGAACAGGAUUAGAUACCCCAGUAGUCCCUGUCUCUUAUACA
rnacentral:rRNA from 1 species